rnacentral:rRNA from 1 species
GGAAGGUGGGGAUGACGUCAAGUCAUCAUGGCCCUUACGACCAGGGCUACACACGUGCUACAAUGGCGCAUACAAAGAGAAGCGACCUCGCGAGAGCAAGCGGACCUCAUAAAGUGCGUCGUAGUCCGGAUUGGAGUCUGCAACUCGACUCCAUGAAGUCGGAAUCGCUAGUAAUCGUGGAUCAGAAUGCCACGGUGAAUACGUUCCCGGGCCUUGUACACACCGCCCGUCACACCAUGGGAGUGGGUUGCAAAAGAAGUAGGUAGCUUAACCUUCGGGAGGGCGCUUACCACUUUGUGAUUCAUGACUGGGGUGAAGUCGUAACAAGGUAACCGUAGGGGAACCUGCGGUUGGAUCACCUCCUUA